AAAAAUCGAUUUUCCGACGUUUUCAACAAAAACUGCACGAAUGGCUCAGUG
rnacentral:sRNA from 1 species